rnacentral:rRNA from 1 species
UCGAACCAUUCGUGCUUUCCGGCGUAGACUUUUUCGUUGCCAUACAAACCUACAACUAUAAGUCCGGCUCUAUAACUAUAGACGCUGCGUCUCGAAGGCCGCCGCGUCCAGUCGGGGAGAGGCGGGAAGAGGAAGAAGAGGCGAGAGAGGCCGGCUGUCUAGGUGAGGAGGGGGCGUACGCCGGAUCAGGACGACGGAGCGUAGUGGGGCGGCCGGGUGGAGGGGCGAACAGGGCGGCAGGCGGCGGGUACCGGCGGGCGAAAACGGUAGUCGCGCCGCGGGGAGGUAGCGGCCUACAAUGCCCUCGGAGGGGGACCGGCGAAGAAGGACAUCGGGGGGUAUCGGUAGAAGGGAUAGGGUUAGGGAUUGGGGUAUGUCUUUGGGAUUUAGGGGUUAGGGAAGAUGAGUGGUGCAUACACAGUCAUACGAGUAAAUAAAAAGGAAAACUACCUGUCGUCCAAUCACCUAACCAGUCGCCUAGACUUCCAGUCACCUAAGGCUCGUCGGUCUAGCUUCAAGGUAUUGUAGUCUUCCGAGAGGGGAGAAGGGGGUUUGGGGUCGGUACCGGCUGGGGCGGCGGCUGGUUUUGGGAUUCCUGCGGCCCCUGGCGCAGGGGCUCGGGACCCGACCGCGGCUACCUCUUCAGCGGCUCCUACUCAUGCUCAUGCUCCUCCUCCUCGACCUGCUCGCCCUCUUCCACGUCAGGCACAAGGCCGCCGAGAGGUGCCUGGGGCACCCCUAGGCGCAGGUGCUGCAGUAGUAGUCCCCGUUGCGGUUCUGCGCGCUCCUCGAGUAACUCCGCCUCCAGCGGCUGGAGGAGGCGAGGCGGUGGUGGCAGGUCCUGGACGACUCGCGGCGGCGGCUGCGGUCGCGCGCCGAGGCGCCCGAGCUGCACAAGCUCCGGCAGUUGUAGUGCGAACUACGGCCGGGCGGGCUCGACGGGCCGUGGUGGUUGCAGCAGUAGCUCCAGCAGCUCGGGCGGUAGGGGGAGUCGCCGUUGCGGCCGCAGAUGAGGUUCGGGCUCCGUUUUCGUACCAGUCACCUUCCCCGACAAUUCACCUUCUUAAACCGACCCAUACGUCUGUAGACCCUACGAAGUCAACGUAUACCAAAGCUGGUUUGUUGUCUCCAACCGCAUCCUCAGAGCGACGGUUCUAAAUUUAGUUAUGGUUGUGGGAACUACCGAGCCCGAAGUAACAACAGUGUUCUAACCUACUUCAAGAGUAGUAUGUUCCUCGCGGAUGAACCAGAAAGUAACCCAAACGAAAGUUGGUCCGUGGUACUAAAUAGAAUGUUGGAAUGUACCGCAAGGAACUGACUAGGCAGUGCGGAACGCAGUUGCAGGUAUUCUUCCGUCAAUCCCGUAUUGGAAGAUAGACGUAACUUUAUGUGUAUGUUCUAACUACUUUCCCUAAGUGUAUAGUCCGGUUGUUUUCCUAUACGUAAAGAGAGCAGGAGAGUUCAACCACCAGAAACCCUAUUGUUUCCUAACUUUAAAAAAGCGGUCCUCAAACUACAAGCACGACGGCACGGAAAACCUAAGACCUUGCGACGAGAGUUGCAACCACAUCCUCGCCCACAACAAAAUGGCGACCGUUCUCCUAAAUACUUAAGCAGAUGUGGACACUGACUAUCUAAAUUGGACCCUCCAGUGUUAAGAGGUCAAACGUCGGACCCACCUUAUAGUAGGAACGAGCCAAAGUCUUGUUCUCCUCAACCGGGUUGUCUUGGUGCCUCCGAACAGGGGCCGCUCAGCCUUCUACCAAGACGACGACAGGGUCCCUCCCUAAUGAACCCACCGCUAGAACGACAAAGACGGAAACGCCUGGAGAGGAAACUAGACGGAGACUUCCACAAAUCUCUGCGACCUUAUGUACCAGUACGCAAAGAGUGACGACCCUUAGAACGCUUUGACAGCCUCCCGGUCAUGUUCUUGAAGAGCGAACUACUUAAGGCGGCAAGCAAAUCCUCGUGACGACCGCAGCCGUAAUAAAACGGUUGAUUUGACAAGGCCCACCUCCACUUGAUGACGAUGUAAGACUUCGUCAGAGUCGUGCUGUCGCCCUUCUGCCCUUAGGUCAAGUCGAAGAGGAGCGGGAUCAUCUCUGGACGGUGGUUCACAGGACGUCAGCUGCACCGUAGGGAAGACGAGAAAAGAAAGUGCUGCUCAUGGACGACCUGUUCGCAUAAACACAAAAGUCGGAACAAAACCCGUGGCUCCUCGGACCUUAUAGAAUGCACGACAAGCCAAAAAAACGUGUAGAAGGCCUUCUCAAGUCAAGCGAAGGGAACAAUUGUGAUCACUAACAGCACCUGUACGGAUACAUUGACUUUAUGGCUACGACGCUACCACCUAUCUUGUUAUUAAAUCCGCCUGCUCUUUAUAACCGCGAUGACACUGAGACAUAGUGGGUGAACACUAAACGCUCGGAUAAACCGUUCGCAAACACACACG